rnacentral:rRNA from 1 species
UUCCGGUUGAUCCCGCCGGAGGUCACUGCUAUUGGGGUUCGACUAAGCCAUGCGAGUCUAUGGACUUCGGUCCAUGGCGGACGGCUCAGUAACACGUGGCUAACCUACCCUCGGGUGGGGGAUAACCUCGGGAAACUGAGGAUAAUACCCCAUAGGAGAAGAGGUCUGGAAUGAUCCUUCUCUGAAAACAUAUGUGCCCGAGGAUGGGGCUGCGUCUGAUUAGGUAGUUGGUGGGGUAACGGCCCACCAAGCCUACGAUCAGUACGGGCCUUGAGAGAGGCAGCCCGGAGAUGGGGACUGAGACACGGCCCCAGGCCCUACGGGGCGCAGCAGGCGCGAAACCUCCGCAAUGCACGAAAGUGCGACGGGGGGACCCCAAGUGCUUACGCACUGCGUAGGCUUUUCUAAAGUGUAAAAAGCUUUAGGAAUAAGGGCUGGGCAAGUCCGGUGCCAGCAGCCGCGGUAACACCGGCGGCCCGAGUGGUGACCACUUUUAUUGGGCCUAAAGCGUCCGUAGCCGGUCCAGUAAGUCCCUGUUUAAAUCCUACGGCUUUACCGUAAGGCUGGCACGGAUACUGCUGGACUUGGGACCGGGAAAGGGCGAGGGUACUUCAUGGGUAGCGGUGAAAUGUGUUGAUCCCUGGAGGAACACCUAUGGCGAAAGGUCUCGCCUGGAACGGGGUUCAAUGUGAGGGACCAAAGCCAGGGGCUCGAACCGGAUUAUAUACCCGGGUAGCCCGGGUCGUAAACUCUGCGGACUAGGUGUAAGGUAGGCCCCGUGCCCAUCUAGUGCCGAAGGGAAGCCGUUAAGUCCGCCGCCUGGAGAGUACGGUCGCAAGACUGAAACUUAAAGGAAUUGGCGGGGGAGCACUACAACGGGUGGAGCCUGCGGUUUAAUUGGAUUCAACGCCGGGCAUCUCACCAGGGGCGACAGCAUGAUGACGGCCAGGUUGACGACCUUGCCUGAAGCGCUGAGAGGUGGUGCAUGGCCAUCGUCAGCUCGUACCGCGAGGCGUCCUGUUAAGUCAGGUAACGAGCGAGACCCGUGCCCUAUGUUGCCACUUCUUCCUCCGGGAAGAAAGCACUCAUAGGGGACCGCUGGCGCUAAGCCAGAGGAAGGAGCGGGCAACGAUAGGUCCGCAUGCCCCGAAUCCCCUGGGCUACACGCGGGCUACAAUGGUUGGGACAAUGGGAUGCGACCCCGAAAGGGGAAGCUAAUCUCCUAAACCCAGCCGUAGUUCGGAUCGUGGGCUGUAACUCGCCCACGUGAAGCUGGAAUCCGUAGUAAUCGCAGUUCAUAAUACUGCGGUGAAUGUGUCCCUGCUCCUUGCACACACCGCCCGUCACACCACCCGAGUUGGGUUGAGGUGAGGCUUUGGCCUUUGGCUAAGGUCGAACCUGGGCUCAGCGAGGGGGGUGAAGUCGUAACAAGGUAACCGU